AGAGUUUGAUCAUGGCUCAGAGUGAACGCUGGCGGCAGGCCUAAUACAUGCAAGUCGAACGGCAGCACAGCAGAGCUUGCUCUGUGGGUGGCGAGUGGCGGACGGGUGAGGAAUACGUGGGAAUCUGCCCAGUCGUGGGGAUAACGUAGGGAAACUUACGCUAAUACCGCAUGCGCCCUUCGGGGGAAAGCCGGGGACCUUCGGGCCUGGCGCGAUUGGAUGAGCCCACGUCGGAUUAGCUAGUUGGCGGGUAAAGGCCCACCAAGGCGACGAUCCGUAGCUGGUCUGAGAGGAUGAUCAGCCACACUGGAACUGAGACACGGUCCAGACUCCUACGGGAGGCAGCAGUAGGGAAUAUUGGACAAUGGGCGCAAGCCUGAUCCAGCCAUGCCGCGUGAGUGAAGAAGGCCCUCGGGUUGUAAAGCUCUUUUGUCCGGAAAGAAAAGCGCCGGGUUAAUACCCUGGUGUCCUGACGGUACCGGAAGAAUAAGCACCGGCUAACUUCGUG
rnacentral:rRNA from 1 species